GACAGAUUAGACACCAUCCGUCAUCUCUAGGCGGCAGACUCUUCCUACUUCCUGCAUCAUGAGAGCCCUGGCAUUCCUAUUUGUGGUGGCCGUGGCCCUGAUGGUGGUCCAGGCCAUUGCCUACCCCUUCCCAGACGCAGACCCCGAGGCCAUCGCCGACCCUGAUCCACACAGGGAAUUCCGACGAUAUGGCAGAUACAGUGGCCACGGCCGUGGUCAGGGCUACGUACAUCAUCACGGCUGAAUGAAAGAAAUUAGCGAGCCAGCUGGAGGAGUCAACAUUUUGCGGGGCACUCACAUCCAAGCGCUAUACGAUGUGAACGAUGCGGCAGACAUGCCAUCCGACACCCGCUGCCGUCUACUGCAUCCCAGCCGCCAAUGAUUUACCAAAAUAAUGUUCUCAGGGUAUUUUUAAGCGGUAACGUCAGGUGUUUUUAAAUAGGCAAUGUAUCUCUUAUCUUAUUCCAAUAUUGUCUGUAUUUUCAAAAUAAAUUAUAAACAUUA